GCACUUUUUAAAUAUUAUUAUUGACAUCAAUGUUUGGUUAGCCAUAGAAAACAAAUACGUUUUCUUAUUUUCCAAUGACGUUCUUCCCAUGAACAAGAAGUCUUAAAUCUUAUAUAUUUUGUUUUGUUAAUAUAUUCCUUUAUGGCUACCUUUUUUGUAUCUUGUUUGUUAAAUGUUUCCAUACAUCAAAAUCAUAAAGAUAAUGGAUAUAUUUUUCUAAGAAUUUAAAAAAUAAUUGUCUUCCUUAAGAAUUUGAAUCACCUGGAAUUUAUGUUUGCAUAUGACAUAAAGAAUAACAAGAUUUUAAUUUGUUUCCAUAAGCAGAGUUACUUGCCUUAACACUAUUUAUUAAAGAGUCCAUCCUUCUCAAACUAAUGUGAAAGCCACUGCUAUUAAAUAUUACACUUCCUAUGUGUGUAAUAAGUUUUUUCAAUUUGUACUAGAGUUUGGAAAAUCUAAAUGGAUGGGCUAUGCUUAUCCGAGCCUUUUAAAGUAAUUUUGGAUACAUAAAGAGCACUUAGUUGUGGGAGUUCCUGUUGUGCCUCAGGAAUAAUAAAUCCGAAUAGUAUCCAUCAGAUUUCAGGUUCAAUCCCUGGCCCCGCUCAGCAGGUUAAAGAUCCAGCAUUGUCUUGAGCUGUGGUUUAGGUUGCAGAUGCAGCUCCGAUCUGGCAUUGCUAUGGUUGUGGCACAGGCUGGCAGCUGCAGCUCUGAUUUAACCCCUAGUCUGGGAACUUCCAUAUGCUGCAGGGGCACCCCCCCCUAAAAAAAAAAAAAAAAAAGCACUUGGUUGUAAUUAGGGAAUGGAAUAAUGGGUAGAGAGUUCAAUAGCUCUCCUUAUGAAAUUAAAGGCAUUCAGUGUUGGAAGAUGAUAAUUUGAAAAGAUAAGAACUUUGACUUGGAUCUAUAGCCAGUCUCAAGAAAAUGGGAAGAUAGGGCCAAGAGAAAAUCCCUCCAGAGGUAAGACUGAUGGGUUUUUAGAACAGUGAUGUGUGAUACUCAAUCGAAAGUUGCUGUUUGAAUUAUCUGCUCAGUUUUCAGAGCUUUCAGUAAAUGUCAGACAUAUACUACUGCAUUGGAAUUCAGGUGGUUUGUAGUGAAGAACAAAGGCACAACACAACCCAAGGGGAAAGGACACUCAUUUCAGACAGGAAGAUGCAGAGCAGAGAUGGAGAAUUCGCAAGAAGCAAGGUACUGAAUCAAGAACCGAGGAGGGUAAUAUAAACUUCUUCCUUGGGAACAGUGAGGAAAGAGGGACGGCUGAUGAAGGAUUUUUCCUCCAGUGUAGGUCUAGAUCAUUUUAUUGGGCUGUUAAAGGAAAAGUUAUAUUGUUUUCCACAACCAGCAUCUUAUCAUCCCUAUAGUUGAGAAGUUCUUACACAGAAAGCUUUGUGAGAUUUCUGUUCUUUUCUUUUGCUUUGAACUAUAAGAUUAAGUACACAUUCCUUAUCACAGUACUCAGAACAGCAUUGAAACUGGACUCUACCUCUUUCCUCUAGUCUCUUUGCUUAAGCCACAUGGAAAUACUUGCAGUGUAUUAAACAGGCCAGGCACUUUCAGAGUACCUUUUCUCUGAGGAUCUUGUUUCCUGGGCAUGGUAUGCAUAGUGGAGAAGCCAUGAUAAGAAUGGGAUAAUCAGGACAGGAUAAUGAUUACAUUAGUCAGUGCAGGACUUGUGGAUCCUCACUGACUUCCACAGUUCCCCACUCUUGGCUGUGGACAGCAGCCAUGGUGGAGGACUCAGUGUGGCUUUGGCACCUGUGACAUCACAGUCUAGGACUGAAAAGAUGCACACAUUAUAGCAUGAGCACAAGUAGAUAAGAUCUUAGAGUCAUCCAUGGGAUCAUGGCUGGUAAAAAAUAUUUCAGGCAAGAUAAGCAAGUUGACUGUUAAGGGGACAGAAAAAUCUACCUGUGAUAGGAUGAUCUGUCUUUAUCUCUAAUUUAGACCUUCUAUUAAAAACAAGAUAGAAAUAUAUUCAGCAGCUGGAAUGUCUCAUUGGAAAUUCAUCCACAGUAUUUCCUGAAGAUUAAACUGUGAGAUGUAUUUAGUGAAAGAAAAAAAUAAAUUUGUUGAUAAAAUCUAAUAAUAUCAUAAUUCUAUUUAAAAACAAAAAACAAAAAACAAAAACCUUCCAAGAGUGCUUGUCAUGGCUCAGUGGAAACAAAUCUGACUAGCAUCUAUUAGGAUACAAGUUUGGUCCCUGGCCUUGCUCUGUGGGUUAAGGAUCUGGUGUUGCCAUGAGCUGUGGUGUAGGUUGCACACGCGGCUCAGAUCCUGCAUUGCUGCGGCUAUGGUAUAGGUUGGCGGCCACAGUUCCAAUUUGACUCCUAGCCUGGGAACCUCCAUAUGCCGAGGGUGCAGCCAUAAAAAGACAAAAAAAAAAAAAAAAAACAACUUCUUAAAUUUGCACCGUUAGGGAGUUCCUGUUGUGGCCCAGAGGAAAUGAACCCGACUAGUAUUCAUGAGGAUGCGGGUUCGAGCCCUGGGUCCACUUAGUGGGUAAAGGGUCUGGCAUUGCUGUGAGCUGCAGUAUAGGUCACAGAGGAGGCAGCUUGGAUAUGGUGUUGCCGUGGCUGUGGUAUAGGCCAGCAGCUAUAGCUCUGAUUCGACCCCUCGCCUGGGAACUUACAUGUGUUGUAGGUGUGGCCCUAAAGGGGAAAAAAAAAAAAAAAAGUAAAGUAGUAGGUCAGUUACUCAAGGCUAUAAAUAAUAAGACAUUAAAAAUGCAUUUUAUAAGAUAAAUGACAGGUAUGACAAAUGGGGAACCCUGUUUUAUACAAGUAAAGAAGGAUUUAGAAUUUUGAGUACAUGAAAUGUAUAAAGUUAUGAAAAAUUAUAAAUAAAUGUAUCCAAGCAUUCUUUGGGUUUAUUUCAGGGUAACCAUUUUACCAUUCAUAAAAACUAGAAAAUGCUAAAUAUCGAGUGUAAAAUAGCCGUUAUAAUUGAUUGACAUUCAGCUUCCUUGGUAAAGUCUUUCUCUAUCCUUGAAGGCCAAAUUCAUUAUUUUUUUCCUCUGGAGUCUCAUACUGCUGCCUACGACGUUAUUGUAGAACUCAUACAUCAUAUUAUAUCAUAGCCAU
rnacentral:lncRNA from 1 species